AUUGAACGCUGGCGGCAGGCCUAACACAUGCAAGUCGAGCGAGCGGCGGACGGGUGAGUAAUGUCUGGGAAACUGCCUGCUGGAGGGGGAUAACUACUGGAAACGGUAGCUAAUAACGCAUACCAUUAGAUGUGCCCAGAUGGGAUGGGCGAGUAGGUGGGGUAACGGGUAACCUAGGCGACGAUCCCUAGCUGGUCUGAGAGGAUGACCAGCCAAACUGGAAAGGAGACACGGUCCAGACUCCAACGGGAGGCAGCGGUGGGGAAUAUGGGACAUUGGGCGAAAGCCGGAUGCAGACAUGCCGGGGAUGGGAAGAAGGCCUUCGGGUUGUAAAGCACGUUCAGCGGGGAGGCGUUACCCGCAGAGGAAGCACCGGCUAACUACGUGCCAGCAGCCGCGGUAAUUC
rnacentral:rRNA from 1 species